ACAGCAGUGGAGGGAACGGGUGGAGGGGGCGUGUGUGUUUAAACAGGGUGUGUGUUAGAGGAUGGGUGCCCCUAGCCAAAACAUGCAUGCCACUCCCCCUACCCUCAUGAUUCAGCGGAAAAUCCCCAAGUUGCAGGGGUAUCGGUGUGUCUGGUGUGUGUAGAAUGCUGAUCACUGGGAAGUCCGCUGGGAACAUGGGAAGGAGAAUAGGAACACACACAAUACGAUCAUACAAAGAAAUGAACGAUCAAAUUGAUAGCGACUCCGACUGGGAGCCCCGGGAGCCAAGCUGCCCGCUCUACCUCUGCCCCCUCUACUCCCACCUCCAGUGGUGUUCGUAUGCCACAGUUCAUUACUGCAGGCAUGACUGUGCCUCAGGGCCAAAAGGGCACAGCAUGGAGGCGUUGUUGUGUUCUGUGUCGCAUGAAGUCCCCGAUCACCUGCACCAGUUGUUCAGUUUGCCUCUGCUUUACAUCAGAAAGAGACCGCUAUGGGACAUGGCACAGGCAGCACUUCCAAAUGGUAAAAAUGUCUUCUAUUAUUUAAAAAAAAACAUUUUUAUAAAAACUGUUGUGUGUUAGAAUUGCUUUUUGAUAUGUUGUAUAUAGUUAUUUGCACUUUUGUAUAUAGUUAUAGGUCAUUUCACCAAUUCGGCCACUUGGGUACAUUUGGGCAACUUGUGUGGGACACCUGGGUGACUUCAUGCUAAAUGUCAUGUAGCUCACCCAUUCCUGAAGUUAUCAGUCUGAAACUUUGCACUCCUAGAGUUUCCCUCUUGUGUUAUCCAUCAAAAUGAUCUCAAGCAUCCUAUCUGACUGUGUGGCUAUUAUAGUACAUGUGAAAGAUGAUGCUACAACAAUAAAAAACAGAAAACGUA